rnacentral:misc_RNA from 1 species
GAUGAAGAACGUAGCGAAAUGCGAUACGUAAUGUGAAUUGCAGAAAUCAGUGAAUCAUCGAAUCUUUGAACGCACAUUGCGCCCGCUAGUAUUCUGGCGGGCAUGCCUGUCCGAGCGUCAUUUCAACCCAUCAAGCUUAGCGCUUGUGUUGGAGCCCUGCGGCCGCCGCAGCCUCCUAAAAUCAGUGGCGGGCUCGCUAUCACGCUGAGUGCAGUAGUAUUCUUCUCACUCCUGUGGUGUAGCGGGUAACCAGCCGUAAACCCCCCCAUCUAUAAAGGUUGACCUCGGAUCAGGUAGGAAUACCCGCUGAACUUAAGCAUAUCAUAAGCGGAGGA